CGUGGCGCCCGUGUCGCGGCAGGCGGCGGGCGAGUCGCGGCGCGUGUGGCGCCACGUCACGUGCGCGCUGCGCGCCGCCGACACCGACGCCGCCACCGCCGCCAAGCGCGCCGUCGAGCAGGCGCAGCGGGAUGCCGUGAAGGCCAGGGAGGCUGGUGCUGAGAAGUGGGUCACGCAGCUAUUUAGCCCCAAAGGCGAGGACGGUUGGGAAUACAAUUCUCCGCUGAAAAAACGUCUCGACAAACAGACGCCCCAACACAAGACCGCUGACAACUCGGACACGAGAUAAUGUGAUAAGUGACUUUACAUUUGGACUCUCAGUAUACAUAGAAGUGACAGCUAUCUUUUGGUUUCCAUAGUUGAGAACCUGAUUCUGUGAUCAAAAGGUUUGGUAAAUACAUAUAAAUAAUAAAUCUAUUUCCAUUAGGACCCCCCCCCCCUUUAACCGCCCGCGUAAAA
rnacentral:lncRNA from 1 species